GGGCCACAGAAUCUCUGCUAUGCACCACAUCGUGCAGUGCACAGUAUGCACAGUCACACAUGCAGUGGGCUAUGCAAUGCACGCUAUGCACAGCUAUCCAUCAUGCGAUGAAUGAUACAUGCAAUGCACCGUACUAUACGAUGCACCGCAUCGCAUAUACAGAUAAUCCGCGCUCCGGAUCUACAGCUUAUAAAUUUGCCCCU
rnacentral:lncRNA from 1 species